rnacentral:lncRNA from 1 species
AAAACGCGGGCACCCCUCGAGCUAGUUCAUCGCCUUUUAACCUGUUGUUGGAUCUUUCCAGAUCACCACACCACAUCACCCAGCCACUCUGCCCAAUGGGAGGGCAGACAGUGUUCCAGUGUAGGAGGAAGGGGUGUAAGGUGCGGGCAGUUUGUGAGGAGGGCACCAACGAGAGCUACUGUGAGAAAGUCUGCAUGGUCAAAAAGUGGAUUACCAAGAACAAAGCAUCAUAAUGUUGUCCAGUGGACCCCAGCCCCUUUUCUGAGGCCUCCCUUGGCCAGAUAUGAUUAAAUAUUUAUCAAACUAAGGACUCAGCUUACUUGGAGUGAAAACUCUUCAGGGCCUCUCAGAGAUACCUAAGAUAAGUACCUUAUUUUAGUAGCUCUCAAAUAAAGCUUCUUUUAUGCUCUGUCUUUUUCAUAUAUAAAAUAAGGUCUAAUUAGAAAGUUUUAUAAUGGAGGCAGUCAAUUCCCCAAUUCCUUAUUUGUUUGAAUUAACUUUUAAAAAAUUGGGGUGUUCACUCUGGCGUUGGCUCAAUCCAGACUCUGUAAUCAGCCAACAAUCUGU